CAUUAGUGGAGACUGGAGAGAGGGUUGAAUAUUGAACUGGGGUGAAUCUGAUCAGAGCUAAAAUCCCUCAGGAACAAAAGAGAAGAUUAAAACAGAAGCGAACAGAAGCAAUGGAGGGACAGCAAAUGCCUACUGCCUGAAGGAAAUUACACAGACCCUUUAUGAAAUAUAAAAACCACGGUUGCAAUUGAAAGAGAACACUGGAAAUUAUCAGACCAAAAGUUCUGCCUGCUCUGACUCUGGUCCCUGCCUCCAGUCCCACGUCUCCACAUCCUGCUACUCUGCCCUGGAUUCCCCACUUUACUGAUCCCUUGAAUUCCCCUCCGGACCUGCUUACCCUGUCCCAACACCUCUCGCUCCAGCCUCCGCACCUGGUUUCC